GCGGGGCCAGGAGUCCUCAGGGCAGGUGCAGGGGGCGGUGCCCGGCCCUGCCCCCAGGGGCUGUUCUUGGAGGCCAGGGGCGGGUCAGAGAGGCGGCCGGUGCGGGCGACGCCUUGGAACCCGCGGGCGGCAACUGCGGCCACAGGUGCGGAGCAGGGCAGUGUGUCCCAGCUCUAGGCAUCGGAACUCCAGCGCUGGGAGCUGAGGCUUCCGAGCUGCUCACAACCCUGGACCCCGAGGCCCCCGGGCCGGAGAGCGGAGCCCUGGGGUCGUCCAAAGCACUGGGCCCUGAGCCCCCUGGGUCAAACCGCGAAAUUCCGGGGCCUGCUGCUGAGCAGGACACCGAGGUCCCCAGGCCAGGCGGCGAGGUCCCCGUGUCUUCCCAAAACCAGUGCGCAGAGACCCCCAAGCAAGAGCGCGAAGUCUUCCAGCCAUCACCGGGGCAGGACGCAGCUGAGGGUUUUGUGAGUCCUGGGCCAGGCAGCGACGACCCUGAGCCGUCUGAAGUGCGAGGAGUGGGGCUCCUGGAUCAGUGUCCCUCUCAGGUUUGCGAGACCUACUCAGAGUCGGAAGCCCCCCAGCUGCGUUUUCUGCUGCACUCGGAGACCCCACAACAGCCCCGGGAGGAGCCGCUAAUGGAGACGCCCAUCGAGCGCGAAAUCCGCCGCAGCUGCGAACGCGAGGAGAGCCUGCGCCGGAGCCGGGGCCUGAGCCCAGGUCGCGCCGGCCGUGAACUCGUCGAACUGCGCGUGCGGCCGGUGCUCAGCCUGCCGGGCCCCGGCCCCGCGCUCCCGCGUGCCUUGGAGCGCGCUCGGGCGGGCGCGCAGAUGCAGCGAGACAUCGAGCGGGAGGCCCAUCGGCAGGCGGCGCUGGCACGCUCGGCGGUCCCGGAGCAGCGCACCCGGCCGCCGCCGCAGCCUCUGGGCGAGCUCAAGCGCUUCUUCGAGACUGCCGGCGGGUGCGGCUCCACGCCGGCGGCGGAGGGCAGCGCGGGCCAGCAGCGGCUGCCUGAGCCCGGAGGCCGGCCGCGCUCAGCCGUGCAGGGCCGGUGCCCGGUGCUGGCCCGCGCCCCGCCGCCUAUCGCGCCAUCGUUGCUGGAGCAGGAGGUGCGCGAGGCGAAUGAGCGCGAGCGGGAGCUGCAGCGCCAGCGGCUCAGUGUCUACGGCACCGCCGAGUUCAAGGAGCCCGCGCCCAGCCUCACCGGGGUGCGGUCGGUCUCCUUCGUCCUGGCUUCCUCCAGCUGGUGAGAGGAGGGGCAACCCUAGCUGAGCGUCCCUUCCCCCGCAGAGAGCAGGGGCGACGGAAAGCUGGCGGUGAUCUGGCCUCCCCGCAGAAAGGCUUCGGAGAACGGUCUGGAGCAGGAGGAGCGGAAGCCUUGAGGUUCGAACAGGCUGUGAUCCCCGGACAAAAGUAACAUGCUCAUCAGAGGACCGAGGCAGGGGCGCCCAGGAGUGCCCUCCCGAUCGCCAGGAAGCCUGGAGAGCUGCCAGAGGUCUGCGCCAGGGAAGAUGAAAUCGAUCAGCCUGCCCAUCCUUGAACCUGACUUUGUAAAAUUGACCUGUAUCUUCUAUAAAACUGUUAGGCUCGGUUGGGAAACACCACCGCCAUGAUCCCCGCCAGGAAAACUGUUCAGCCCUUCUCCGUCUAAUUGGAAACGGAACUAGCCUCUCCUUCCUUGACUGUUAGAGGACCGGGGUCACCUCCCCCACCGCCCCCCUCCCCAAUAAAGCCCUUCUCUCUGGGCAGUGCA